rnacentral:lncRNA from 1 species
CUUAUAUACAUAUGUUGUAUAAUAAUAAUAAUAAUAAUAAUAAUCCUUCGCAGGAUGAAUUUUCUGGGGGAACAAACACAUUUGGCCAGACACCAUCCUUUUAUAUUUAUGAUAUUAAAUAUAAUAUUAAAAUUAAUUGCAAUAACACUGGCAAACAUCAUUACAGCACAUAGGAAUGCCAACUCGACACAUUCUUUCACAUGGCGACCCAUCGGGACCACACGACUGGUUGUUGAUUAAGGAGCCUUUGUCAGCCAAAACAGAUGAGAUAAACAAACCUGAAAAUUAAAGCAGAUUCCAAUAGAGAUAAACCCGGGAAUUAGAUGAUGGUAAUUAGAGUGCUAGCCAUUGAGACAAACAAAAGACUACGUACCAGACAUGGAAACCAAUAACAUGACCAUGAACACCAUCUUCAAAUUUUGCUCCAUCUUUUAAAGGAUCGUUUUGUAAAAGCAAAACCAAAGGAGUUUGUUUUAAUCUGCAUCAAAGUAAUCUCUUAUGCGUCAUAUAUAUAUGCGUCAUAUCUUCUAUCAAAAUUAAAUUGUAAUAAGUGCUUAUCAAAAUGGUCAAAUAUAUUGUUCCAAACAUGGAUAUUUUUACACUAAGCUAUCUAAAGGAUUGAUGAUCAUUCCAAAUUUAACAAAACUAAAGAAUAUCAGUUUUCUUAUUAAAAUUAAAAUUGUUAAUAAAUAAAAGAAGAAAUCAAUAUAUAAUAUCUGUGUGGUUAAUUUGUUACUAUGUUAAUUAGCAGUAACUUUAAUUCCCUGAUGAAGAAGCCUAACCCCAUAGCCUAAGGAGUAACCAGUUCUUAAAAAUAGUCAACUAUCGUCCAUUUCUAGCCCACCGGUUGAACCUGCUGGCCACCAGGCUGAAAAUAAAAUUAGGCCCAGACCUGCAGAUAUGGCUUAUGAUUCGGCUAUUAGCUUCCCUCCUCUACUGUUUGUUUCAAAUGUACAUAUGUAGUCUCACGUGAAUAAAGCAUAUGUUAACAAUAACGCUGACAAAAAAAAACUAUAUGCUAUAAGUAAAGGUGCACCAGCAAACCGGUUUUUAAAAAUCCGCCCAAAAAUAGCCUCCUGAAAUUCAAAACUAAUUAUACAAUUUUAGAUGGAGUCCAAAUAGCAGCUUCAUAUUUGGAAUUAUUAGAUGCUACGUACCUACAGCGAUUAAAUCCAUAAUUAAUCUUAUAAAUAAAUACACAAAUAUACAACACUUAAUUAAAUUACAAAAUGGACAAAUAUAUCAAAGUAAAAUUAACACAAAAGAUUUAUAGUUGAGGAUGGGGUGGCUCAGCCUCCUAAAAUUCAUAGUAUAUAGGGAUAGUAGGUUAUCCUUUAUUUGUCGAUAACUAGACCAUUAUACCUGUACACAACUUUAAAUUGUAAAACCAUUGAAUUACAUAUAUCAUAUAUAAGAAAACGAAUUGCUCCCCCAGAACGAUUUAGCAUCAUAUAAAAAUGUUAAGCAUU